rnacentral:rRNA from 1 species
UACAGAGGUGGCAAGCGUUGUUCGGAAUUACUGGGCGUAAAGGGCGCGUAGGCGGCCUUCUAAGUCAGACGUGAAAUCCCCCGGCUUAACCUGGGAACUGCGUCUGAUACUGGGAGGCUAGAGUAUGGGAGAGGGACGUAGAAUUCCAGGUGUAGCGGUGAAAUGCGUAGAUAUCUGGAGGAAUACCGGUGGCGAAGGCGGCAUCCUGGACCAUUACUGACGCUGAGGCGCGAAAGCUAGGGGAGCAAACGGG